rnacentral:lncRNA from 1 species
AGUUCAAACUGAACUGAACUAUACAUAUAUAUACGUGUAUGUAUAUAUAUAUAUAUACAUACACGUAUAUAUAUACACACACAUACAUAUAUAUACGUAUAUAUAUAUACACACACAUACAUACACACACACACACACACAUAUGCAGGGAGCUGAGCUUGUUGGUUGCUUUUUUGCAGUCUGCAAUACUCAAGUUUUACUCCAACUCAACAAUAAAAGCUUCCCACAGUUUUGUAUAGAUAUUUCCAAACCAUUCAUUUCAACCAGGAUAUAUUGAAUAGUUUUCAUAAUUAGCCUUGUGCUUUGAUAGUGAGGGAUACAAGACAUAAGCCCUGUUUCUCUCUCAAUUUCCUGCUGUAUCGGGAGGUCUAUAUAAGAAGGCCAAGCAAUUGUUAGUAGUGGGUACUUGCAGCUAUUAUUUCAUUGCAUUUUUCUUACGUUGAAAAAAUCUUAAGUGUUUAUAUCCAAGACAAGAGGGGGACUAAUGAAUAUCCUUAGAAGGAGGCACUAAAUUUCCCCCAAGCUUCUCUUUUGUGCUGCCUUCACUCUAGAAUCUUUCCGACCCAUGCUCUCCAAUCCAUAUAUACUUUCAUUUUCUCUCUUGUGAAAUAAGCUAUAUUCUCUCAACUAAUUUUUCUGCCAUGCGUGACUGACCUGGGUUCAGAUUCUUGCUCAAACACUAACUAGUUUUGAGACCAUCUACACCAUUAAUAAAAAUAUUACUCAUAGAA